GCGGCAAUAGCUCAGUCGGUAGAGCAUUAGCUUCCCAAGCUGAGGGUCG
rnacentral:tRNA from 1 species